rnacentral:rRNA from 1 species
GCCCGCUCAGAAACUCAAAUGAAUUGACGGGGGCCCCGGCACAAGCGGCGGAGCAUGUGGAUUAAUUCGAUGCAACGCGAAGAACCUUACCUGGGUUUGACAUACACCGGAAAACCGUAGAGAUACGGUCCCCCUUGUGGUCGGUGUACAGGUGGUGCAUGGCUGUCGUCAGCUCGUGUCGUGAGAUGUUGGGUUAAGUCCCGCAACGAGCGCAACCCUUGUCUUAUGUUGCCAGCACGUGAUGGUGGGGACUCGUAAGAGACUGCCGGGGUCAACUCGGAGGAAGGUGGGGACGACGUCAAGUCAUCAUGCCCCUUAUGUCCAGGGCUUCACACAUGCUACAAUGGCCAGUACAGAGGGCUGCGAGACCGUGAGGUGGAGCGAAUCCCUUAAAGCUGGUCUCAGUUCGGAUCGGGGUCUGCAACUCGACCCCGUGAAGUCGGAGUCGCUAGUAAUCGCAGAUCAGCAACGCUGCGGUGAAUACGUUCCCGGGCCUU